UACGUAGGGUGCGAGCGUUAAUCGGAAUUACUGGGCGUAAAGCGUGCGCAGGCGGUUUUGUAAGCCAGAUGUGAAAGCCCCGGGCUUAACCUGGGAAUGGCAUUUGGGACUGCAAGGCUUGAGUGCGGCAGAGGAGACUGGAAUUCCUGGUGUAGCAGUGAAAUGCGUAGAUAUCAGGAGGAAUACCGAUGGCGAAGGCGGCAUCCUGGACCGAGACUGACGCUGAGGAGCGAAAGCCAGGGGAGCAAACGGG
rnacentral:rRNA from 1 species